GAGCCUUGGCUGACAUGGUAUAGUUGAGAGUCCCUGCCUGUGGCGGAGAGGUUAGUACUAUAUGAUCUUAAGGUCCUUUCCAAUCCAAACCAUUCUAUGAUUCUAUAUACUGUACUAUACUGAUUCAUCGGAAUUGUACUACCUUUCAAGCACUUGUAAAUAACAGCCAAUGCUGUAUUGAAUUAGAAGUAUUUAAUUAGUUUAAUCUUGUCUGGUUUUGCAGCCUUAAAACCUCUUGAAUUUCUUUUUUUCAGAGCUCUUUUAAAUCUUUCUACAUCUUCCCUGUAAAAACUAAUCUCACUGUCCCUAGGAUUCAGCCUCCUGUAUUAGAAAAGUCUCCUAUCACUUAGCUUCAAAAGCAACCCUAAACUGCACUGACCUAUUUUACCACUGUAUCAUUGUCAGAGAGGAGAUUUGCCAGAUGUCUUAGAUGUUUCAUUAUUCCCUCAAGGAACCUGACCUGUCCCAUAAUAAAACUGAGGUUGCACAGGAAGGAUCAAAUUGAGUUUUCAGGGGCAAUGUAUUUACUGGGCAAAUUCAAACAGAGCUGGAAAUUAACUUGUAUUCAUACAAGUUAAUUAACUUGUAUUCAUACUGGUGGUGCAGCUGGGGUCAGAAUGUGGAUAAAGGUCUGUCUGCUCUCAAACUAAAAGUUUUGCCAGCUGGUUACUAAACUAUAUGCUAAACUGGUCCCCUGUAUAUUAAGCUCCUAUGCUCUUAAAUUCCUUUUGGCUCAGGUAGGCUCCAGGUACGUAUUUGUGCAUGGAGAUGUUCAUGACAUCUCUAGUGCAUUUGCUGAGCAAAACCUUGUUAUUUAAACACAGUGUCAGUUCUGCUCCUCCAGAGGCAAAAUUCCAACCAUGAGAGAACAUAAUCAUCCCUGUGCCCCUUGCAAGCCACCACUGCAACCUGAUCACUCCUGUUGCUCUGCUUUGCUGUGCUUGCUGACUCUACACGUAAAGCUAGGAUACAAAGACGUUUCAGGUUAGCAAAACAUAACUGCUCUGUUGUCAUUCCUCAGUUCAACUUCAAAAAAAGAAUGAUGUGUACAGAAAGAGGAGAAAGUGCAUUUUUCAUCCCUCCUACCAUCUGUAAGCUUCUAAGGGUAUGCAACUUUUUUUGCUGAUCUGAGUUAAUAAGAGCAGAUACACAGAUAAGGUAAGUGACAGGACAGGCUUGAAGGCAGAAUAACGUGAUCUUUCUCCAAAAUGCCAUCUCUAGUGAAGCUUUUAGCAUAGGGCCUGACAACAAAGGGAAGCUUACCCUGAUUAUUCUUCUGUCAUACAAGCUAUUAAUCUGACACAAAAUAUAAUUUACCUAUCUAAUCUAAAUAAAGAUCAGUUCAUAGAUAAAAGCACAUAUUUAGGCAUGCUAGCAGUAAACAAUUUACAAGGUGUUAACUAGAUUUCCAGGACUGGAAAUAAAUGUACUCAGAUUGGAGUUAGUAAAUCCAGAGCCCAAAUGGAACAAACAGAAACUGUUAUCUCUUAACUAUUCCUUAUGGAAAACUUGGGUGUAUCUUAAAUUGGCAUGUCAGUGCUGAAAAGAAGAAUCCAUUGACUUGUGACAGCAAUGAAUGCAUAGUCCAUAGUCAUAAGGUCUGGAAAAUCUGUCCACUGCUUGAGGGGAAAGGAGACAGUGAAAUCACAUACACUGUGAAGAUCCAUACAAAUUAGAUAAGCAAAUUCUUAUUUUUAGCAUUUGCCCAACAGCAAAGACAAAGGAAGAGCACAUAAACAACUCAGAAGGGAACCAGUAACCUCAGCUAUUCCCCGUACACUGAAACAGUCAAGUUCCAGAUGCAGGGUAUUCUCCUAUAACUGAAGAACAUGUAACUCAUAUAACUGAAGAAAAAUUGUAAUAGGUAAUCAAAUAGGGAAGACAAAGCACAUAUUUCUUGCCACUCCAGGAGUGAUCUAGCAAAAUGCCAAGUAUCUUUUGCUCAAACUGAGGGAUAGAGCAAAUCAAAGACUUCAUUUGCCUGGAUUUUGCCUGGAUUUAUGAGAGUAUUUUAGUAUUUUAGUAUUUUAGUGUCAGAGUAUUUGAGGCACUUAACUCUCAGUGAAGUCAGAUGGGUUUUAGGAAGAUGAAUUUCUGAGGAUCCAGGCCUUUGGUACCUAAAAUAAGACUUAGGCUUAAUUUGAAAGCCAGCUCCAAAACAGUGAUUUUGAAUUUUUUUAACCAUCUGGAGAUGCCUGACAUUUUUAGUUAUAAUUUUCCUUGCUUUUCUGAUAGAGUCAUAAAGAUAGAAGAACUCUGUAGCAUAGAGAAUAUGGAAAUCAGUCUUCAGCUCUUUAACUCUGACAUAUUUUAAGCAAAAAGGAUGAAUAACACUCAUUUCCUGAGCAACUGCCUUUACCAGAAAAGGAGAUACCACCAAUACAUUUCCUCUGAAGGAACCUCUCAAGAUAAAAAAGGAAGGCCUACUCUGCUCUGUGAGUGAAUGGGCAAAAGUGGCAUCAUUUGGAAGAGAAAUCAAAGCCGUAGAAUCUGAAUGGACAGAGAGCCUCCUGAGUAUAGAGAAUAAAAUUUCUUGCAACUCA